UACGUAGGGGGCAAGCGUUGUCCGGAUUUACUGGGCGUAAAGCGCGCGUAGGCGGAACUUCAAGUCCGGUCUGAAAGCCCCCGGCUCAACCGGGGAGGGUGGCUGGAAACUGGGGUUCUUGAGGGCGAGAGAGGAGGGUGGAAUUCCUGGUGUAGCGGUGAAAUGCGUAGAGAUCAGGAGGAACACCCGGGGCGAAGGCGGCCCUCUGGCCCGGUACUGACGCUGAGGUGCGAAAGCGUGGGGAGCAAACAGG
rnacentral:rRNA from 1 species